AUGAGGAGGAUCAGCUCGCCAAAAGGAAGAAACUUAAUAGGAAGGGUUUCUGAAUUGAUAAAUCCUACAACAAACCAAUGGGAUGUUGACCUGAUAAAGCAAACAUUCUGUCCAGAAGAUGCAAAUAUAAUUCUUCAGAUACCUAUUCAAGAACAAACAGGUGACUUCCUAGCUUGGCAUUAUGACAAAAAGUGUCUCUUCUCAGUAAAGUCGGCAUACAGGGUGGCAGUAGAUAAUGUAGUAAGAGAAUCUUCUGCAGGACUAACUUCAACUUCUAAUGCAGAAAUAGAGAAUUCAGGGUUCGAUUGGAAGAAGCUAUGGGCACUUCCCCUACCAAGCAAAGCCAAGACUCAAGGGAAAGAGAAGAGCACCAGGAAAAUGCAGAAAUGGAAAUCACCUCCAGUGGGGAACCUGAAGAUUAAUUUUGAUGGGGCUUUCAUCGAGGCAUCAAAUAUAGGAGGCUGGGGUUUCAUGCUUAGAAAUGAUCAAGGAGUUUUAUUGGCUGCUGGUGCAGUGGUUAGCCUCGCUCUUUGGAAGCGUGAGGGCGCGAGACCGAUCUCGGUCGGGAGCACUUUUUCGGUCGCCUUUUUUCACGACGCGCCAUUGUGGGCCGGCGCAUCCAGCCGCGGCUGCAGGCGCCGGUUAGCUUGCGCGGCGCUGAAGGCGCUGACUAGGAGUUCCCUUACGUAG
rnacentral:rRNA from 1 species